UAACGAGGAGAUGAGGGAAGGAGUUGU
rnacentral:piRNA from 1 species